UACGUAGGGGGCAAGCGUUAUCCGGAUUUACUGGGUGUAAAGGGAGCGUAGACGGCGGUGCAAGCCAGAUGUGAAAGCCCGGGGCUCAACCCCGGGACUGCAUUUGGAACUGUGCUGCUAGAGUGUCGGAGAGGCAGGCGGAAUUCCUAGUGUAGCGGUGAAGUGCGUAGAUAUUAGGAGGAACACCAGUGGCGAAGGCGGCCUGCUGGACGAUGACUGACGUUGAGGCUCGAAAGCGUGGGGAGCAAACAGG
rnacentral:rRNA from 1 species